CAAUAGCGUAUAUUAAAGUUGUUGCAGUUAAAAAGCUCGUAGUAGGAUUUCUGAUCGAGACAUCAGGUCGGGUCCGAGAGGAUCAUGUACUUUGAUUUUGUUUUGAUCAUCCUUGGGGAGAGCAUUUCUGGCAUUCAGUUGUCGGGAUUGGGAUCCUCAUCGUUUACUGUGAAAAAAUUAGAGUGUUCAAAGCAGGCCCCGGCCUCUGAAUACAUUAGCAUGGAAUAAUAAGAUAGGACUUUGGUGGUCUAUUUUGUUGGUUUGCACGCCAAAGUAAUGAUUAAUAGGGAUAGUUGGGGGUACUCGUAUUCAAUUGUCAGAGGUGAAAUUCUUGGAUUUAUGGAAGACGAACUACUGCGAAAGCAUUUACCAAGGAUGUUUUCAUUAA
rnacentral:rRNA from 1 species